UACGUAGGGCGCAAGCGUUAUCCGGAAUUAUUGGGCGUAAAGAGCUCGUAGGCGGUUUGUCGCGUCUGCCGUGAAAGUCCGGGGCUCAACUCCGGAUCUGCGGUGGGUACGGGCAGACUAGAGUGAUGUAGGGGAGACUGGAAUUCCUGGUGUAGCGGCGAAAUGCGCAGAUAUCAGGAGGAACACCGAUGGCGAAGGCAGGUCUCUGGGCCGAUACUGACGCUGAGGAGCGAAAGCGUGGGGAGCGAACAGG
rnacentral:rRNA from 1 species